rnacentral:rRNA from 1 species
AGCCUGAUCCAGCCAUGCCGCGUGUGUGAAGAAGGCUUUCGGGUUGUAAAGCACUUUCAGUGGGGAAGAAAUCCUCGGGGCCAAUACCCUCGAGGGAGGACAUCACCCACAGAAGAAGCACCGGCUAACUCCGUGCCAGCAGCCGCGGUAAUACGGAGGGUGCGAGCGUUAAUCGGAAUUACUGGGCGUAAAGCGCGCGUAGGCGGCGUGAUAAGCCGGUUGUGAAAGCCCCGGGCUCAACCUGGGAACGGCAUCCGGAACUGUCAGGCUAGAGUGCAGGAGAGGAAGGUAGAAUUCCCGGUGUAGCGGUGAAAUGCGUAGAGAUCGGGAGGAAUACCAGUGGCGAAGGCGGCCUUCUGGACUGACACUGACGCUGAGGUGCGAAAGCGUGGGUAGCAAACAGGAUUAGAUACCCUGGUAGUCCACGCCGUAAACGAUGUCGACUAGCCGUUGGGGUCCUUGUGACCUUUGUGGCGCAGUUAACGCGAUAAGUCGACCGCCUGGGGAGUACGGCCGCAAGGUUAAAACUCAAAUGAAUUGACGGGGGCCCGCACAAGCGGUGGAGCAUGUGGUUUAAUUCGAUGCAACGCGAAGAACCUUACCUACUCUUGACAUCGUGCGAACUUUCCAGAGAUGGAUUGGUGCCUUCGGGAACGCACAGACAGGUGCUGCAUGGCCGUCGUCAGCUCGUGUUGUGAAAUGUUGGGUUAAGUCCCGUAACGAGCGCAAC